GGGCGCGUAGCUCAGCUGGUUAGAGCGCCUGCUUCACACGCAGGAGGUCAUUGGUUCGAGUCCAGUCGCGCCCACCA
rnacentral:tRNA from 1 species